CUCAAACAUCUAACCUCCAAAACUGUGAGAAAUGAAAAUUUCACAUUCUGCAUCUGAUGCUUUCAAUAUCUGAAUUGUUUCAGGCAUCUCAGGGCACUGCCAACCUGGGGCUUCUCUGAAAUAAAUCCCAGUUUGAGGUUUCUCAAGACUUACAUAUUUUGUGAAUUCUGCCAACACAUUUAAGGAGUACAGCUGUAAAAGAGAGCAGAGAAAUGGAACAGUAGCUCUGAGGAAUGUGGAUCAAGACAAGUUAUUUUUUAAUGGGAAAUGCCGUAGCAAUUGUUUAUGCCAAUGAGAAUAAUUCAUAAGAAAAAGGAAGAAGAAAAAAACAAGGAGGAAAUAAAAAGGAAACAAGUGUAAAGCAGCACCAAGAACCAACUUGAGGGAGAAAGAUGAGCAACUUCAGAUGUUAAAGUGUAAAACACCUCACUCAUCUCAGGACCUUGAAGUCUAAUUCACGAUGACAGCAGCAACAACAACACGUCAUUGCGUUAAAUUCCUGAGUUCAAGAGUAUAAUCAGUGGUCCUAAGGAGGUUUUUACGGUGUUACGACAGAGAAUGUGAGUGAAAGGAAAUCUGCCAGUGGAAGAUUUAAGGAACGGUUCUCUGAGCAGGAGACACUUAACAGAAAUUAACUUUCUUCGAUUUAAUGUCAUUUUUUAAUGAUUGACUCUGUUUGAGGUAGGAAGCCAGAGGAGAAUGUGACUUCCUGAUUUCACAAAACUUCUUCCCUUCCAGCCCCGCCUGAGAUCACAGUCAUGUCCAGUGGCACAAUCAACAGCAAGACCAGUGAGAUUCAAAGCAUAGGCAUCUCUCGUGUCCAUCAUUUUCACAAAUUUGAAUUCCUUACAGUUAGUUGUAGUCUCAAUCUCCAUAUAGCAUAGAAUUGUGGUUGAUGUUAAAUAAAUAUU
rnacentral:lncRNA from 1 species